GCCAGGCCCAGUGCUGCACACCUGUAAUCCCAAUGACUCAGGAGGCUGAGGCAGGAGGAUCUCGAGUUCAAAGCUAGCCUCAGCAAUUUAUUGAGGCUCUAAGCAACUCAGUGAGACCCUGUCUCUA
rnacentral:sRNA from 1 species